rnacentral:rRNA from 1 species
UACGUAGGCAGCAAGCGUUGUUCGGAGUUACUGGGCGUAAAGAGCUCGUAGGUGGUUUGUCGCGUUGUUCGUGAAAACCGGGGGCUUAACCCUCGGCGUGCGGGCGAUACGGGCAGACUUGAGUACUGCAGGGGAGACUGGAAUUCCUGGUGUAGCGGUGAAAUGCGCAGAUAUCAGGAGGAACACCGGUGGCGAAGGCGGGUCUCUGGGCCUUACCUGACGCUGAGACGCGAAAGCGUGGGGAGCGAACCGG